rnacentral:rRNA from 1 species
GUAUGGGGAUCUGCCCGAUAGAGGGGGAUAACUGCUGGAAACGGUGGCUAAUACCGCAUAAUGUCUACGGACCAAAGCAGGGGCUCUUCGGACCUUGCACUAUCGGAUGAACCCAUAUGGGAUUAGCUAGUAGGUGGGGUAAAGGCUCACCUAGGCGACGAUCUCUAGCUGGUCUGAGAGGAUGAUCAGCCACACUGGGACUGAGACACGGCCCAG